UAAAUAGAAGCCAAAAAGAGGCAUCUAACUGUUAAUUAGAGUAAUGUUUUUUAAACCUAUUUAA
rnacentral:tRNA from 1 species